rnacentral:rRNA from 1 species
CAGCCGCCGCGGUAAUACGGAGGGUGCAAGCGUUAAUCGGAAUUACUGGGCGUAAAGCGCACGCAGGCGGUCUGUCAAGUCAGAUGUGAAAUCCCCGGGCUUAACCUGGGAACUGCAUUUGAAACUGGCAGGCUAGAGUCUUGUAGAGGGGGGUAGAAUUCCAGGUGUAGCGGUGAAAUGCGUAGAGAUCUGGAGGAAUACCGGUGGCGAGGGCGGCCCCCUGGACAAAGACUGACGCUCAGGUGCGAAAGCGUGGGGAGCAAACAGGAUUAGAUACCCCAGUAGUCCCUGUCUCUUAUCA